GUGCCAGCCGCCGCGGUAAUACGAAGGGGGCUAGCGUUGUUCGGAAUCACUGGGCGUAAAGCGCACGCAGGCGGAUUGAUAAGUCAGGGGUGAAAUCCCGGAGCUCAACUUCGGAAUUGCCUUUGAUACUGUCUGUCUUGAGUCCGGGAGAGGUGAGUGGAAUUCCUAGUGUAGAGGUGAAAUUCGUAGAUAUUAGGAAGAACACCAGUGGCGAAGGCGGCUCACUGGCCCGGUACUGACGCUCAUGUGCGAAAGCGUGGGGAGCAAACAGGAUUAGAUACCCCAGUAGUCC
rnacentral:rRNA from 1 species